rnacentral:rRNA from 1 species
GGCGGCAUGCCUUACACAUGCAAGUCGAACGGCAGCGGGAAAAAGCUUGCUUUCCUGCCGGCGAGUGGCGAACGGGUGAGUAAUACAUCGGAACGUGCCCUGUAGUGGGGAAUAACUAGUCGAAAGAUUAGCUAAUACCGCAUACGACUGAGGGUGAAAGUGGGGGACCGCAAGGCCUCAUGCUAUAGGAGCGGCCGAUGUCUGAUUAGCUAGUUGGUGGGGUAAAGGCCCACCAAGGCGACGAUCAGUAGCUGGUCUGAGAGGACGAUCAGCCACACUGGGACUGAGACACGGCCCAGACUCCUACGGGAGGCAGCAGUGGGGAAUUUUGGACAAUGGGCGAAAGCCUGAUCCAGCAAUGCCGCGUGUGUGAAGAAGGCCUUCGGGUUGUAAAGCACUUUUGUCCGGAAAGAAAUGGCUCUGGUUAAUACCUGGGGUCGAUGACGGUACCGGAAGAAUAAGGACCGGCUAACUACGUGCCAGCAGCCGCGGUAAUACGUAGGGUCCAAGCGUUAAUCGGAAUUACUGGGCGUAAAGCGUGCGCAGGCGGUUGUGCAAGACCGAUGUGAAAUCCCCGAGCUUAACUUGGGAAUUGCAUUGGUGACUGCACGGCUAGAGUGUGUCAGAGGGGGGUAGAAUUCCACGUGUAGCAGUGAAAUGCGUAGAGAUGUGGAGGAAUACCGAUGGCGAAGGCAGCCCCCUGGGAUAACACUGACGCUCAUGCACGAAAGCGUGGGGAGCAAACAGGAUUAGAUACCCUGGUAGUCCACGCCCUAAACGAUGUCAACUAGUUGUUGGGGAUUCAUUUCCUUAGUAACGUAGCUAACGCGUGAAGUUGACCGCCUGGGGAGUACGGUCGCAAGAUUAAAACUCAAAGGAAUUGACGGGGACCCGCACAAGCGGUGGAUGAUGUGGAUUAAUUCGAUGCAACGCGAAAAACCUUACCUACCCUUGACAUGCCACUAACGAAGCAGAGAUGCAUUAGGUGCUCGAAAGAGAAAGUGGA